AGUAAGGCACUUAACUCCAGGUUGCUCCGGGGGGAUUGUCCCUGUAAUAAGUGCUCUGUAUAAUACAUUGGUACUCAGAAGGUUGCUGGUUUGAUCCCCACAGUCACCACCAUUGUGUCCUUGAGUAAGGCACUUAACUCCAGGUUGCUCCGGGGGGAUUGUCCCUGUAAUAAGUGCUCUGUAUAAUACAUUGGUACUCAGAAGGUUGCUGGUUUGAUCCCCACAGUCACCACCAUUGUGUCCUUGAGUAAGGCACUUAACUCCAGGUUGCUCCGGGGGGAUUGUCCCUGUAAUAAGUGCUCUGUAUAAUACAUUGGUACUCAGAAGGUUGCUGGUUUGAUCCCCACAGUCACCACCAUUGUGUCCUUGAGUAAGGCACUUAACUCCAGGUUGCUCCGGGGGGAUUGUCCCUGUAAUAAGUGCACUGUAUAAUACAUUGGUAAUCAGAAGGUUGCUGGUUUGAUCCCCAC